rnacentral:ncRNA from 1 species
GCAGACGCCGCAACGAGCGCAACCCUCGUGUUUAGUUGCCACUGUUGAGUUUGGAACCCUGAGCAGACUACCGGUGAUAAGCCGGAGGAAGGUGAGGAUGACGUCAAGUCAU